rnacentral:rRNA from 1 species
GACAAACAAGGCCAAAUUAAGAUAAGUACAGUAAAAAAGGGGGUUAGGGAAUCAAAGGCCAAUAUAUGCUGCCGAUUUCAUAAAAAAGAUUAUGUAUUUUGUAGAGGUGGAAUUUGUGCAAAAUAAAUAACCUUUUACUUUUUUUAUCCUGAGGCCCCGAAAUCUUAGCCAAAAACCGGGAUUAGAUACCCCGUUAUUUAAGAUGUAAAUUUUAAUUCACAUAUUUUACUCGAGUAUUACGGGUUCUGUAAAUUUAAUAUAGAAUAAACCUAAAACUCAAAAAACUUGGCGGUGCCUUAAAUCCUUUCAGGGGAACCUGUCCUAUAAUCGAUAGUCCACGAUUUACCUUUCCUUUUUUUGAAUAAACUCAGUCUGUAUACCGUCGUCGCCAGAUUACCUCUAAGAGUAAAGAAGUUAUCUAAAAGAAAACCAUAAAGAUAAGAUCCGAUUUUUAUACCAUAAAAUCACCUAGUCUUCAUGUUCUCUAAACGUCAGAUCAAGGUGCAGCCUAUAAAAAGGAAGAGAUGGGUUACAAUAAAUAAUUAUUAUCACGAAUUUCCUUUUGUAAAAUAAAGGUCUAAAGGAGGACUUGAAAGUAAUUAAUGAGAAGUAGAGAGUCUCGGUGAAAACGGCCCUAAGGCGUGC